rnacentral:rRNA from 1 species
AUUGAACGCUGGCGGCAAGCCUAACACAUGCAAGUCGAACGAGUGGCGGACGGGUGAGUAAUGUCUGGGAAACUGCCUGAUGGAGGGGGAUAACUACUGGAAACGGUAGCUAAUACCGCAUACCAUCGGAUGUGCCCAGAUGGGAUAAGCUAGUAGGUGGGGUAAAGGCUCACCUAGGCGACGAUCCCUAGCUGGUCUGAGAGGAUGACCAGCCACACUGGAACUGUGACACGGUCCGGACUCCUCAGUGCGGCAGCAGUGGGGAAUAGUGCACAAUGGGCGCAAGCCUGAUGCAGCCAUGCCGCGUGUAUGAAGAAGGCCUUCGGGUUGUAAAGUACUUUCAGCGGGGAGGCGUUACCCGCAGAAGAAGCACCGGCUAACUCCGUGCCAGCAGCCGCGGUAAUUC